rnacentral:misc_RNA from 1 species
AUCCUCGCCUUUCCUGCGCGAGAAGCAUGGAGGGUGGAUGCACAGCAAUGGUGUAGGCGAGGGAGUGGACGCUUCUCCGACUCGUGCGAUGUGGACAGUUGAUGUGGGGAGUGGGGAGGAGAAGGACGAGAAAUGCACGGUGCAGCACCGUUAGCAGAGUGGUUGUGUCUGCUUUUGCUGUGCUGGACUCGGGGACAGAUCCUGGCGCAGAGGGACAGCUGCAGAUCUAUAGAAUCAAAUGUCGUGAGGAACAACCUUGGAGAUUUGGCAGUAGGACUGUCACGUCGGGGUCAGUUUCGAGAGUAUGCUCUUCGACCUUUUCUUCAACCCCGUGUGCCUGAUACUCCUGGGAGUACUACAGUCCGAAAUCAUAUCACUACAUGGAUGUCCAGUGUGGGAUGGACUGUAGAGGAAGACAGCUUUCAGCAGCAAACACCCUUUGGCACUCGUCGCUUUACCAAUGUAAUUGCAACACUUGACCCAAGCAAAUCACGAAGAAUUGUUCUUGCUUGUCACUAUGAUUCCAAGCUGUAUAACAACAUGGUUUUCAUUGGUGCCACAGACUCUGCUGUGCCCUGUGCUUUGAUGCUAGAAACUGCAUUAAGAAUGCAGAAUCACUUUAGGUCUACAAAAGAAUCAAACUCAGAUCUGACACUUCAGUUUGUGUUCUUUGAUGGGGAGGAGGCCUUGAUGACUUGGUCACAAUAUGACUCGCUUUAUGGUUCCAAACAUCUGGCUGCCAAGUGGGCUGACACUCCAGAUCCUAAUAAUUUAGGCCUUACCUACAUUCAGACUAUUGAACAGAUGAUACUGAUGGACCUCAUUGGAACACCAGACACCUCUUUCGAUCUUCAGUUUGCUCAAACAGCAUCUUCUUACUACAAACUCAGGAACAUUGAGCAAUGCCUGCAGCAGCAUGGUUAUCUAAACCCCACUCAACGUAAUCGACCCAUCUUCACCAACAGACGUGCUCGGGGAGGUGUGGAGGAUGAUCAUAUACCUUUCCUUGAACGCAGGGUCCCCAUUGUUCAUCUCAUUUCCUCACCUUUCCCAUCAGUGUGGCACACAGUCUAUGACAAUAUACGGGCACUUGACUUCACACUUAUUGACAACCUAGCACGUAUACUGCGCAUCUUUCUAGCAGAUCUUCCACUUUGAAUUGAACUGCUAGAAAAACAAAUAAUUGAUCCUUGUGACAGACAUGGAUGCAAGCCUGGCUGCCAACUUUGAGAUGCUGCCCGAUGUUAUUCAUCUAAACAUUGACAGUCAACACAUCAUAUCUGUGAAAAGGAAAAAUAUGAUUUCAGUCAGAUUUUGUUUUGUGGGUGUUUUUCAUGUGUAUGCAUGCAUGGAAAGGCGAGCAUAACACAUGCUUUGUAUUGCAUGUAUAACAAGCCUCAUGUCAUUUAAAUGUUUUCACAUAUUAGACUUUUUGACUAUCU